GACGAACCGUGCUAACGUUGUUCGGAAUCACUGGGCUUAAAGGGCGCGUAGGCGGUCUGCCAAGUCAGGGGUGAAAUCUUUCGGCUUAACCGGAAAAGUGCCUUUGAUACUGGCGGACUUGAGGGAGGUAGGGGCAGAUGGAACUGGUGGUGGAGCGGUGAAAUGUGUAGAUAUCACUAGGAACGCCGGUGGCGAAAGCGAUCUGCUGGACCUCUACUGACGCUGAGGCGCGAAAGCCAGGGGAGCAAACGGG
rnacentral:rRNA from 1 species